GGUCCCGUAGCUCAGCCGGAUAGAGCAGCGGUUUCCUAAACCGAAGGUCGCAGGUUCGAGUCCUGCCGGGACCGCCA
rnacentral:tRNA from 4 species